rfam:Rhizophagus irregularis DAOM 181602 strain DAOM 197198 GLOINscaffold_24190_Cont24044, whole genome shotgun sequence.
GGCUCCAUGGUCUAGUAGUAUGAUUCUCGCUUUGGGUGCGAGAGGUCGUGGGUUCAAUUCCCGCUGGAGCCC